rnacentral:rRNA from 1 species
UACAGAGGUCCCAAGCGUUGUUCGGAUUCACUGGGCGUAAAGGGUGCGUAGGUGGUGAGGUAAGUCGGAUGUGAAAGCUCGGAGCUCAACUCCGAAAUGGCAUUGGAAACUACCUUGCUCGAGGGUUGGAGGGGGGACUGGAAUGCUUGGUGUAGCAGUGAAAUGCGUAGAUAUCAAGCGGAACACCAGUGGCGAAGGCGAGUCCCUGGACAACUCCUGACACUGAGGCGCGAAAGCGUGGGGAGCAAACAGG